GGAGGCGUUGGGUAAACCCAAUGAGCAACGCGUGUCCUGUCGAAAGGGAUGGCUGAGUUUUUUGUUUUAUGCGUUAUGGAGCAGGAUUCAACGGCGGCAGAGGCCGUCCAGAAAGGAGGAGAGGCAGCUGUGAAAGCGAUCGAGCUGUUUUGUUUUGAUUCUGGCAAGCUCUGCUUCAGCAAUUGAGGCAGCAAUCCGAAAAGCAGCCUGGUUUGGGAAUAAUAAGCCUCCUUGAACCCCGUGGGAUUCAUUCCCAUAAGAUUUAUUCCCGAGUGAGAAUGCAUGCUAAUACGCCAUGACAGUAAUGUUAAGCACACUUGAGACCUGGUUCUGGACUUUGAAGUAAAUCCAUUUCAGGUCACUGGGAGUCAUUCCCAAGUAAUUGCGUUACAGUCUUUAACCACAAGGCAUUUUGAAACCCUAAGGACUUUGCUUCCAAGUGUUGUAAAUAAAAAUAUGCCCUUUUCCCUUAUGGGGUAUCCAAGAGCCCAUAUAGAGUCCUUACAUAGGUUCCCUAUUGGUAGGAGAAAAUAACAGAGGCCAACCAGAGAAUAUUGAGAAGCAAAGCAGCUAGUAAGCUUGAUCUUUAUUGAUCUGUUGCAACAGGGUGCUCCCCUCACUCGCAGGAAAGAAGAAGGACCCACAAAAAUGCUGUGCAAGGGCGUAUAAAGACUUUUGAAAUUCCCAUCCUGUAGACCAAGACCACCCCCAGAAACAUGAUACAUACAUCACAGAAGGGGUGUAACCUAAGACCACCCUCAGAUACAUCACAGAAAAGGUGGUCUUAAAACAGAAAUUUCAAUAUUGUUUUUCUCUUAUCCUUGUUUGUUUUCCUGUCUGGCAGGUUACUUGAUUGGAUUGCCUAAGGAGCCUGGCCAUUCUUUUGUAGUGAUAAAUAGUGAUAAAUACUUAGUUCCUGGGCCGUGUCACAGGCUCACACCCUAUUCAAACACAUCAACAUACCCCUAAGACAGGAUUUGUGAAGGAAAAGACAAUGGGGAGGUUUUUCCUCUUUGACCAUGCAGAGAAACAUUUGCUCAGUUUAGGAAUCAAAAAUGGCUUCAGGUCAGUCUUCCUGUGCUUGAUCUAUGUACGUGCAGUUAUGAACAUUACCAUAUAUCUAGACCUCAAAAUUCCUAUCACAUUAUCCCCCCUGUGGGGCUAGAAUUUUUCUUAAAAUUUUUUGCCCCACAAAUAAUAACAUUGUAUGUUGUAAAUGGAUGCCUUUGUGUAAAUAUAUCAUAUAAAAAUAACAGAUGUUGCAUUUUGUUACUAAAUUACUUGUGGCAUUCUAGCUCUUAAUAGUGGUCUAUGCUUUACAUUUAGCAGGAAGGUCUUCUAAUGACUGAAAAAUGCAGUGUGCUUUGUCCUGUGCAGUUUUUUAUGUGUUCUCAGGUGUCAAGCUAGCUCUUCUGUGGUCUCACACCGGCAUAAUGGUACAGCAGUGGCAAUCCGAGGUGAAUCCACUUAGGGCUUUCAUAUCAACCAUGUCGUCUGGCACUCACCAUAGCUGGCACAGGUUUGGACAUGUCAUGAGAGAAAUGUCUUUGCCUUGGCCUUUCUAUGGGAUUUUAUUAUUAUAGGCUCUGGUCUUGCACUCAUGGGAAGUUGCUCACUUGCUCUUAAAGGACCAAAAAGCUAAUUGCAGCCUGGAUACACUUGCCCAAUUCAAAAAGAGUCCGAUUUGAAUUUAUAUAUGCCCAUGGUUCUCAACUUUUAAAACAACCAUUCUUAAAAGGGCACCUGUCCAAAUUAGUUAAUUUAAUUCUUUAAGGGAUCAUUCCUGCUAAAUCAAGGCAUAUACACUUUUCUUGUUAUCUGGGCUUUCAUGGAUCCUGAAGCUUCUCCUUGGUAAAAUUAAAAUUCGGUAGAGAAGAGUAAGCACACAAUUUGGUUGUCCAAUUGAGAUGAAAAAAUGAGAGCAAUUAUGGGGAAAAACCUUAAGAUUCACUGUGUGCAAUCUGGGGGGGGAACUAUAUGAAAAUGAUAUGCAGAUGUUAGCAAAAUAAUAAUAAUAAUAAUAAUAAUAAUAAUAAUAAUAAUAUGUUGGAGAUGUAAACAAAGUGAAGAAACCUUAUUUGACGUAUGGUGGUCAUGUCCUCAAAUAAAUAAAUAAAAUUUGGGACAUGAUCUACACCCAUUUCCAUUUGGCAUUCUAAUCAAAACAUCCCAAAUAAUAAUAAAGAGUGUUGCUUCAAAACUACCUGAUAAAAUAUGGUUCCAAGACUAAUACUUGGUUGUGGUCAGAUUAAAUUCACAGCUUUACGGGAAAACCGAGAUUAAUAAAUAAAUACAGAACAAUUGCUACUUAAAGACAGUACUGAAUCUGCAAGGGAUACAGAGAAGUCAUAGAAGGGAUUCAAAAUAGUUUUCUGGAACAUUAAGAAAGUGACUGCAAAGAAAGAAAGAAAUAGUAAAAAAGUAAUUUCUUUCUGGGAACUUCGUGUAUAGAAAAAAAAAUCACUAUUUGUGUCCUUUGAAUAAUAAUAAAAAAAUGGGUAGAGAAGGUUGGCACACUGCAGAGUGCCAGGUGGGACAAGCAAAUAUGAGCAUCAGUUGACUUAAUCUAAAUAUAGCCUGAUCAAUUACACACAGAAAUUUUGUCCCCCCUUUGUGGGGGUAACACACUAUCAGACACAUUUCAGCAUUCCUACAUAAUAACACAUAAUACACAACAAACUAAUUAAAUAUCAGUUGCAUAUCUUGAGACAAUUGUGAUCUUUUAUGUAUGUAUCUUCUGAAUCCUGGAGCACAGUGUUAAGGUUCAAAAGUGAGAAAAUGUCCUUGCAAUUCAACUCCUCCCCCCUUUGUCAGCCCCACUCCCCCGCCAGUCUAUAUCCUUUGAAAGAGAUAGCUGUGGGCACUUUGAAAACUCUAGUGUCUGUUGUUGUUGCAGGUAAUAGUCUUGUGGUGGCGAAGCUUUUUCAUCAUAGGUCUGUAGUAACUCAUCUGUAGAAGUGACAUCCUGUAAGGGGGCAGGGUUUUUAGGGACUUAAAAGACAGAGUUAGAAAAGGAAGGGGCAAAAGACCCCCCCCUUUAGCUGCAAAUAAUAAAAUCUUAGCACGUUAAGCAUUUUAUUCAUUUCAAUAUUAUUAUCACAUUUCCAUAUAAUUACUGUUAUUAUCUGCUAAGUUUGUUUGCUUUCCUUCACUUAGUUGUUGUUUUUAUAUUAUUAAAUAAAAAAUUACUCCACAUGUACAGAAAGAGAACUGUAAAAAAUACAAGAAAGGUUGAAAAAUAAAAGAAAGCAAAAAAAUAGAUUACCAGUCAGAUGAAAACGGACUUGACACAAAGACAUCAGAUUCAGAAAAGAAUUAUUAUUAAAUAAUACAAUGAUACUAUCAAAACCACACAGAUUACUACUGGACUGAAAAAAAUGGGAAAACAAUGGAAAAAGGCUUAAAAUGACUUUCAAUAUGUGAUGGACAUGUCCCCAAAGUAAAACACACACACACACACACACACACAAUGAUCUAUGAGGAACCAAAAACUAAAUGCUAAGACACACAAUUUUUAAGAAACCUGAAGUAACCUGAAGUAAUCUGUUUUGGCAUUCUAACAUCCCAAAUGAAAAUAAAAGAGUGUUUCUUGAUGUGACAACAUCGGCUAGAAUGUUAAUAGCAAAAUACUGGGAAAUGAGUUAAUACCAAGAAAAAAUGAAUGGCAAAGAAAGUGACUGUUUGGCUGUAAGGGAAAGACGAAAAUAAAUACAAAUGCAAUUACUUUUUUAUAGAGUAUUUAAAUCACUGUUUGCAUUCCCUCAUUAUCAUUUGUGCUGUGGGAGAAAAGAAAGGACACUUUGUUAGAGGUUCCCAUAUCCUGUUAAAAGGGGAAAUUUUUUCAUGUGAGAAGUCUGUCAGGAAAUGCUGUUCCUAAAAUGCAUUGACAUAUACACAAACAAAACCUGUUAUAAAAUUUUAAAUCCCAUUGGGGAGGCGAACUACUCAAGAGAGGAACUCACAGUGGGAGUGGUUUGAUAUUUACCUGUGAAAAGAAUUUGGCAUGUUAGAUUUGAAAACUUGGCAACCUCUUGACUUUUGAUGGUCCAGUACUUAACACUUUUGUCUUAAGUAGCCCCUGGAGCAAAGGACACAUUAAGGGUGAUUUCCCUCAAUGGUUCCAAGUUUACAUAAGGAAAUUUUGAUAAGUUUCUCCCUGCAGCACACGCUCUCCAAACCUCCUCUCCCCCCCAUCCUUUCCCCCCUCCUUUCUCUCUCUCUCUCUCUCUCUCUCUUUUUUAAGCUGAUCUAGCCUCUGUGCAUGUGCAGAGUUCAUGUCUCAGCAAACCUUUGAUAUCAUUGAAAGUGUUGCAUCUUUUAGCUAAAUUACCAUUUGAAUAAAGGAAAUGAAGGGUAAGGAGUAGAUUUAAAAAAUAGGGUUAGAUUUAAAACAAAACAAACUCAGCAAUUCAAGUAUUCACCAAAGCUAGCAAUAGAAGUUGGUCAAAUGAAAUUUCUGUUAACUCAGUUCUAAGGGAUCAUCUUUCCUGCAGCCCAAGCAAAGCGAGUGCUUCCUUUAUUUACAGGAAAUUGAGAGCAGGUGUUUAUUUAAAAAUGUGGGCUAUCAUUAUUUUGUGUGAUUUCUCUUCUGGUCAUUCGCGGAACAAUCAGCCGCGCCCUUAUAUAUGGGGAAAAUGGCCAGAGUCAAAAUGCAUAGGAUCUUUAACAUUCUCAGUCAUUUCAGCCUUAACAUUUGCAGACAAAAAUUUAUGCCCUUUAUUUUAAAGGAUGGUCAAGGCUCAUUCUACUUGAUUAUAAGAAUUUGUAUGUGUUUAAACUUUGAAUAGACUUGGAAGUCUGAUCUUU